GUGGCUUAAUUUGACUCAACGCGGGAAAUCUUACCGGGUCCGGACACACUGAGGAUUGACAGAUAUAUACCCCGUGAUUUUAUCGCGGGGUUGAAAGAUGCUAGUUCUUUCAUGAUUAUGUGAUAGGUGGUGCAUGGCCGUUCUUAGUUCGUGGAGUGAUCUGUCUGCUUAAUUGCGUAUCAAUAAUAGAGACCUAGUAUACGCGUAGACUCAUGCGGUAGUGACCCCCCUUCACAGGGCGCGUGUCGCACGUAUGUUAUACGCACAGGUCUCCGAUAGCAACGAACGUGACCGUACUCUAUUGUUGCAGCGACAAUACCUUUCAACGGGUAUUACCGCUGCUUAGCAAGAUUCGUCUUGCAUUAAACUAUAGAGACCGCUGUUUCUUCUUUAAACCAGAGGAAGGAUACGGCAAUAACAGGUCUGUGAUGCC
rnacentral:rRNA from 2 species